rnacentral:rRNA from 1 species
UACAGAGGUCCCAAGCGUUGUUCGGAUUUACUGGGCGUAAAGCGCGCGUAGGCGGAUCGCUAAGUCAGGGGUGAAAUCCCAAGGCUCAACCUUGGAAUUGCCUUUGAUACUGGCAAUCUGGAGUUCGGGAGAGGUGAGUGGAAUUCCGAGUGUAGAGGUGAAAUUCGUAGAUAUUCGGAGGAACACCAGAAGCGAAGGCGGCUCACUGGCCCGAUACUGACGCUGAGGCGCGAAAGCGUGGGGAGCAAACAGG